GCAAAGCGGAAAAGACUGACUGGAUAUCAAGUGAACCAAAAUGGGCAGGAAUUAAGAUUGACGCUCAUCAUCUCAUCAAUCUUCCACAAGCAAAUGAGUCUUUCUACGAGCUUACAUACUACUCCACUGUGCCUUUCACCUGUUGGUCCACUUCUGACACACACGACACUUGCACAAUUGAAAUUCCGUUUUGGUUGGGAGAAGAUGGAGUAGCGUCUCAAUCAUGUUCACUUACAAUACGUGCUAAAAAAUGGAGCGAUGUCACUCAGCGUGCUGAUGGAGAAACGAUAACAAUGAGAGCCAUAAAAGAUCAAGGAAAGACCAACCCCACUAAAACAAUGACAAUUACUUUUGGAACGCCUACUAAUCUGUUGGCCUUUCCACACCCACCACGAUCAUUGCACUUUGUGCCGCAUCUUUUCAAUGGUUACACGCCGGAAGCCAGGAUACAGGUCCGAGUGGAAGAUGCCAGGGAAGGCCGAUGUACUUCUACAGGAGAUCCACACAUUACAACAUUCGACGGAUCGCGUGCAGAAAACAUUGCCCAUGGGGAUUUUGUCUUGUAUGCGAGCACUGCGAGAAUGUUUGAGGU